CUUGCGGUUAUCUAAUUAAAUCCACCAAAUCCGUUAAUAAAAACAGCUUAAUUAAUAGAUUCAAAACCAUCUGAUUUUUGUAUUAUGAUAUGUGCGCCAACUGUACUCUAAAACCAAUAAAACUCGGCCAUGUGGUCUUCAUAUCGAUUAUAACAAUUGCAAAGCGAGGGACGACAAAAAUGAGCAGCCAAGAUACAGAAGGCGACGAAGAAGUUUCUGCAUUUUUUCGAAAUGUUCAAGAGAUCAGAGCCGAAGAGCUCUUGCCAACGGAAGUAAUGGACAAGCUAA
rnacentral:lncRNA from 1 species